ACCGGCUAACUCCGUGCCAGCAGCCGCGGUAAUACGGAGGGUGCAAGCGUUAAUCGGAAUUACUGGGCGUAAAGCGCACGCAGGCGGUUUGUUAAGUCAGAUGUGAAAUCCCCGGGCUCAACCUGGGAACUGCAUCUGAUACUGGCAAGCUUGAGUCUCGUAGAGGGGGGUAGAAUUCCAGGUGUAGCGGUGAAAUGCGUAGAGAUCUGGAGGAAUACCGGUGG
rnacentral:rRNA from 1 species